UACGAAGGGGCUAGCGUUGCUCGGAAUCACUGGGCGUAAAGGGUGCGUAGGCGGGUUUUUAAGUCAGGGUGAAAUCCUGGAGCUCAACUCCAGAACUGCCUUUGAUACUGAAGAUCUUGAGUCCGGAGAGGUGAGUGGAACUGCGAGUGUAGAGGUGAAAUCGUAGAUAUUCGCAAGAACACCAGUGGCGAAGGCGGCUCACUGGCCCGGUACUGACGCUGAGGCACGAAAGCGUGGGGAGCAAACAGG
rnacentral:rRNA from 1 species